ensembl:lncRNA
CCCUGGGGGAGGGCAUGGCAACCCACUCCAGUAUCCUUGCCUGGAGAAUCCCCAUCGACCGAGGAGCCUGGCUGCAUUCUCCAGAACCUCCCAUGAAAUCCCUCCAUUGAUUUCCUCCCUUCAAGGAUCGUUGUUGUUCCUUGUUGAAGUCGCUCAGUCGUCUGACUCUUUGCGACCCCGUGGACUGCAGCAUGCCUGACUUACCUGUCCUUCACCCAUCUCCCCAAUGUCAUCCAGGGAUGGCGCAGUGGUAAAGAAUCUGCCUGCCAAGCAGGAGACACAAGAGACGUGUGUUCGAUCCCUGGGUCAGGAAGAUAACCUGGAGGAGGAAAUGGCUACCCACUCCAGUAUUCUUGCCUGGAAAAUUCCAUGCACAGAGGAGCCCCGAGGGUGAUAGUUUAUAAAAUCAUAAAGAUUGAACACAGCUGAGCAUGCACGUGCUCAUACCUUAGUGAUCACGGUUAAUCCUUGCAGGGCUACAAGUCACAUGUUGUUAUUCUUCCUUUGGUAGUUAAAGACACCAGGGCCAGAAGGGGCUGAACCUUGGAAAACUACUAAAGUAGUAAAUGCUGGAGGGGUGAUUUGAGCUCUAUUCCAAGGCUCCUUCCCCAGUUCUACCUCCUCUGAAAUGCCCUGGGAGCAUAGGUAGGAUCCAUACACCCAGCUGAUACAUCAGGAGUGAUGUUGCCAGUGUGGACAUCUGAACAGGGCAAAGGUGUAUGUCAAAGUCUGUGGAUGCAUCCAGGCUUCAAAAUCAAACAUUUCCAUAAGACAAGUAAGAAUGUGGGGACUCCGGCACAGUAAUUC